rnacentral:siRNA from 1 species
AGACUACUUGCAAUGGAGGUGUUG